GUUCUUGGAGCCUCUAGCUUGCCUUUAUGGGUUCCUGAUUGCUCUUGCUCUACUUUAUAUCCAUCUUCCCUCCCUAGCUGCCUAUCUUGUGAACUCCAAGCUCCAGCAUCGAACACAAACCCCUAGGAAGUUGGCCUUAUGCAUUUGUUUAGAAUGGAGCCAGGGAUUAAAUCAACAUUUGCUGGAAUGCCUCUGGAUGAAGUCAGGGCUUCAUGAAGGCAUGGGGGGUAAAAACACUGAUGGUGACAUGGCAGGAGUGAGAAGUGGAAAGACAGCUAAAGAAAAAACCUGAGCCCCAGACACUUAUGUGAGAUUGACCCUUUAUGAACUGAGGUGCAAAUCAAAGAAGUUAUUCACAUGACCUUGGUCUGAUAUAAUACAGCAUCCUUUCAACUGAGUAAAACACUGAGCAGUAGCUUUGCUCAGAAACUAUGCCUGAAAGAAAACUACCUUCAGAACUUAUGGUAGCAGCUGGAACAGGGGACAUAAAUACAACUAGUGUUCUCUAGAUGUGACCUCUAAGACCACUCAUAGCUUCAAGCAACACUGUCUCACCACAGCUUAUAUUUCCCUCUGGAAACUUAUCACACCGUCACUGCCCUUUG
rnacentral:lncRNA from 10 species